CAAGUCGACGGUAGCACAGAGAGCUUGCUCUCGGGUGACGAGUGGCGGACGGGUGAGUAAUGUCUGGGAAACUGCCUGAUGGAGGGGGAUAACUACUGGAAACGGUAGCUAAUACCGCAUAACGUCGCAAGACCAAAGAGGGGGACCUUCGGGCCUCUUGCCAUCAGAUGUGCCCAGAUGGGAUUAGCUAGUAGGUGGGGUAACGGCUCACCUAGGCGACGAUCCCUAGCUGGUCUGAGAGGAUGACCAGCCACACUGGAACUGAGACACGGUCCAGACUCCUACGGGAGGCAGCAGUGGGGAAUAUUGCACAAUGGGCGCAAGCCUGAUGCAGCCAUGCCGCGUGUAUGAAGAAGGCCUUCGGGUUGUAAAGUACUUUCAGCGGGGAGGAAGGCGAUAAGGUUAAUAACCUUGUCGAUUGACGUUACCCGCAGAAGAAGCACCGGCUAACUCCGUGCCAGCAGCCGCGGUAAUACG
rnacentral:rRNA from 1 species